AUUGAACGCUGGCGGCAUGCCUUACACAUGCAAUUCGAACGGUAACAGGUCUUCGGAUGCUGACGAGUGGCGAACGGGUGAGUAAUACAUCGGAACGUGCCUAGUAGUGGGGGAUAACUACUCGAAAGAGUGGCUAAUACCGCAUGAGAUCUACGGAUGAAAGCAGGGGAUCGCAAGACCUUGUGCUACUAGAGCGGCCGAUGGCAGAUUAGGUAGUUGGUGGGAUAAAAGCUUACCAAGCCGACGAUCUGUAGCUGGUCUGAGAGGACGAUCAGCCACACUGGGACUGAGACACGGCCCAGACUACUACGGGAGGCAGCAGUGGGGAAUUUUGGACAAUGGGCGAAAGCCUGAUCCAGCAAUGCCGCGUGCAGGAUGAAGGCCUUCGGGUUGUAAACUGCUUUUGUACGGAACGAAAAGCCCUGGGUUAAUACCCUGGGGUCAUGACGGUACCGUAAGAAUAAGCACCGGCUAACUACGUGCCAGCAGCCGCGGUAA
rnacentral:rRNA from 1 species